rnacentral:lncRNA from 1 species
GAGAAGCAACGUGUCAAAUAUGGCAGUUACUACAUUUUGCAAGCUGUAGAUAUUUUUAUUACAUUUUUUCUACCGACAACGACAUACACACUCACAUGACACAUCCACAAUAUUGAUUCAUUAGUCAUGACCCUCCUCCCACUCACUCACACUCACUCACCCACACUCCAUUUUCUCUCUACUCACUCACUCACCCCAACUUCAAUUUCUUUACCAAUUUUCUGACCCUAUCACGAGAUAAAUAUUUC